AUUCUGCCCAAGCGGGGAAGGAUGAGAAGCUUCGACCAAGGUUCGACUUGAGCGCCAGCGAGAGAGCGUUGCCGCAGGCAACGACCCGAAGGGCGAAGCGC
rnacentral:sRNA from 1 species